UGGGGAAUAUUGGACAAUGGGGGAGACCCUGAUCCAGCGACGCCGCGUGAGUGAAGAAGUAUUUCGGUAUGUAAAGCUCUAUCAGCAGGGAAGAAAGAAAUGACGGUACCUGACUAAGAAGCCCCGGCUAACUACGUGCCAGCAGCCGCGGUAAUACGUAGGGGGCAAGCGUUAUCCGGAUUUACUGGGUGUAAAGGGAGCGUAGACGGUAGUGCAAGUCUGAAGUGAAAGGCGGGGGCCCAACCCCGCGCUGCUUGGAAUGACUGUGCUGCUAGAGUGCAGGAGAGGUAAGUGGAAUUCCUAGUGUAGCGGUGAAAUGCGUAGAUAUUAGGAGGAACACCAGUGGCGAAGGCGGCUUACUGGACUGUAACUGACGUUGAGGCUCGAAAGCGUGGGGAGCAAACAGGAUUAGAUACC
rnacentral:rRNA from 1 species